rnacentral:rRNA from 1 species
CCUACGGGAGGCAGCAGUGAGGAAUAUUGGUCAAUGGGCGGAAGCCUGAACCAGCCAAGUCGCGUGAGGGAGUAAGGCCCUACGGGUCGUAAACCUCUUUUGCCGGGGAGCAGUGCCCAGCUCGUGAGCUGGGAGGGAGCGUACCCGGAGAAAAAGCAUCGGCUAACUCCGUGCCAGCAGCCGCGGUAAUACGGAUGAUUCAAGCGUUAUCCGGAUUUAUUGGGUUUAAAGGGUGCGUAGGCGGUCGGAUAAGUUAGAGGUGAAAUCCCGAGGCUCAACUUCGGAAUUGCCUCUGAUACUGUUCGGCUAGAGAGUAGUUGCGGUAGGCGGAAUGUAUGGUGUAGCGGUGAAAUGCUUAGAGAUCAUACAGAACACCGAUUGCGAAGGCAGCUUACCAAGCUACUUCUGACGUUGAGGCACGAAAGCGUGGGGAGCAAACAGGAUUAGAUACCCUUGUAGUC